UACGAAGGGGGGCUAGCGUUGCUCGGAAUCACUGGGCGUAAAGGGUGCGUAGGCGGGUCUUUUAAGUCAGGGGUGAAAUCCUGGAGCUCAACUCCAGAACUGCCUUUGAUACUGGGAGUCUCGAGUUCGGGAGAGGUGAGUGGAACUGCGAGUGUAGAGGUGAAAUUCGUAGAUAUUCGCAAGAACACCAGUGGCGAAGGCGGCUCACUGGCCCGAUACUGACGCUGAGGUGCGAAAGCGUGGGGGAGCAAACAGGG
rnacentral:rRNA from 1 species